AUUGAACGCUGGCGGCAUGCCUUACACAUGCAAGUCGAACGGUAACGGGCCUUCGGGUGCCGACGAGUGGCGAACGGGUGAGUAAUGUAUCGGAACGUACCUUUCAGUGGGGGAUAACGUAGCGAAAGUUACGCUAAUACCGCAUAUUCUGUGCGCAGGAAAGCAGGGGAUCGCAAGACCUUGCGCUGAUUGAGCGGCCGAUAUCAGAUUAGCUAGUUGGUGAGGUAAAGGCUCACCAAGGCGACGAUCUGUAGCGGGUCUGAGAGGAUGAUCCGCAACACUGGAACUGAGACACGGUCCAGACUCAUACGGGAGGCAGCAGUGGGGAAUUUUGGACAAUGGGGGCAACCCUGAUCCAGCCAUGCCGCGUGAGUGAAGAUGGCCUUCGGGUUGUAAAGCUCUUUCGGCCGGGAAGAAAUCGUAUCAGCUAAUACCUGGUGCGGAUGACGGUACCGGCAUAAGAAGCACCGGCUAACUACGUGCCAGCAGCCGCAGUAACAC
rnacentral:rRNA from 1 species